rnacentral:rRNA from 1 species
GCGUGAGUGAUGAAGGCCUUAGGGUUGUAAAGCUCUUUUACCCGGGAUGAUAAUGACAGUACCGGGAGAAUAAGCUCCGGCUAACUCCGUGCCAGCAGCCGCGGUAAUACGGAGGGAGCUAGCGUUGUUCGGAAUUACUGGGCGUAAAGCGCGCGUAGGCGGUUACUCAAGUCAGAGGUGAAAGCCCGGGGCUCAACCCCGGAACUGCCUUUGAAACUAGGUGACUAGAAUCUUGGAGAGGUCAGUGGAAUUCCGAGUGUAGAGGUGAAAUUCGUA